CAUUUGUGCUGUGCAGUCAUCGGGGAAGGAUCUCUCAGCCAGAGCUCUCGCUCGUAGGCCCCAUUCGCUUGGGCAGAGGGUCGGUUCUGGUCUGGAAGCCUCUGGGAGAUCGAAAGGGUCUCGAAUCAUCAUGUGGUCUUCCAGGAUGCCUCUCCGGAUCGUCGUUUGAUGUUGAAGACCUGCAGCGAAGUGACGGACAUCAGGGAAGCAUGGCUCCGCGUUGCAUUCAUCGAGGGGGAGCGGAUUGAAGAUGUCGCCUGUCGCAGGAUCGGGAUGUCUCUUCGGUGUCUGUAGGAUUGGAGAAGCAGAGGAAGAACCAAGAAUCAGGGAGGGUUCGAUAUAUAUACAGGGAGGAGUGGUCAGAGGUUUGAAAGGAAACUACAGCCACCUAUCGCCACAACCCCCAUCUCAGACACACCAACAGCCAAGCCUCCUACAACUGACCCCAUCUCAGACACACCAACAACAGCCAAACCUCCUACAACUGUUCCCAUCCCAUUGGGUUCACAACCCCUAGUGAACACAGAGCCACUGUUAGACCCCUUGCAAUUUGCAUACUGAGCAAAUAGAUCAACAGAUGAUGCUGUUAAUAUGGCUCUGCACUACAUCCUACAACAUCUUGAAUCUCCAAAGACCUAUGCAAGGGUCCUCUUUGUAGACUUUAGUUCAGCAUUCAAUACCAUCAUUCCAGAUAUUCUUCUAACUAAGCUAAACCAGCUAGCGGCACCUGAACACACCUGUAAGUCAUAAGUUUCCUAACAGAAAGGAAGAAGCAGGUGAAGCUAAGCAGAAUCACAUCAGAUACCUGUACAAUUAGCACAGGGGCCCCCCAAGGCUAUGUGCUUUCUCCACUUCUCUUCUCUCUAUAUACCAAUGACUGCAUCUCAAAUGAUCCAUCUGUUAAACUACUGAAGUUCACAGAUGACACAACAGUGGUCGGUCUCAUUUGAGAUAAUGAGGAAUCCGUAUACAGACGGGAAGUUAAAAAACUAGCCUAAUGGUGCAACCAGAACAAUUUGGAACAGAGCACACUCAAAACUGUA